UUUGCCAUUGUCACAUUGUGUAAGGAAACGGCGCGUUUUGGAGAUUGCAGAAGCGGUGCGCUAAGCGUUAAGCCCUUCUGCUUUUCUCUUCCUCUUUCUUGGCUAUCCCUUUUGCGGCUGGCGAGUGGUGACUCCGGCAACGGUCAUUCCAGAGCUUUGUAUUUACAGGAUUCUGCUGUAAAGUAUAGUGGCGUCUGGCCAUGGGAACUGAAGAGCCAAAAGAUCCAUUCAAGGGGGUUGACUGGAAAGCCAUAGGCGGUGAAUUGCAGAAGGACCCUAGUGCUGGUGCUAAACCAGUCAUAAAGAAACGGUUACCAAAAAAGAUUAGACAAAUUCCAGAUUACUAUUUCCUUCCUCGAAGAUCUCUACCCUCUGCAAUUGCAUUCUAUGGGGCAUGUAUUGCAGGUGGAAUUGGUGCUGGUAUGCUUCUUGAGAUCUGGAUAAACAAGAAAGUUAAAGAGGAUGGAGGCGUCAUAUGGGAGUUUGAUAAAUAAAGUCUGGAUUUCAUUGCAUCAGCUCCUCUCUGGGCUUCCAUUGUUCCUUCGCUGGUAUGAUGUUAUCUCUUAUUAUUCGUUGGAAUUACAACUGCAGGGGAAACUAUGAGAUUGAUUACCAUAAGCGUUUCUUUUUAACUUGAAACUUCAAAUUAGUGACUAAAGUUUCAUACCAUGAUGGAGGACCCUUCAAUUUUGUGAAUAAUAUGACGUGGAUGGUGGCUGUCCUUGUUGUCUAAAUGACUUUUUUUUUUUUUUUUUGGUUCUGUGCGCUGUUAUUCGAUUUCAAGAUGAUUCUAAGGUUUUACAAUGCUUGUGCUAAGCAUGAUAAUGAUCAAUAAUUUAAAGAUAAACGACAGCUCGCUGGUGGACGCAGUUCAGCAUAUUCUCUCAAGGGAUUGGUUUGUCCUAGUCUCCCAUGCCUACAGGAAAGGGAAUUUUUGCAUCGAUUGAUAGGAAAUUUUGCAGCGUCUCCCCUUUGGAAUUCAACGGCUGGUCCUUUGGCUCAACAAAACCUCAAUCUACUAGAGGAACCGUCUGGCCUAACUCUUCCGCUGUCUACAUCAUCGAGAGAAGGGAGAAGCAAAUCCCAACAAUCGUCGAGAGAAGUGAGAAGCAAAACCCAACAAGUAGCAGGCCGUGGAAGUGCCAAAACAUAAGAAAUCACAAUAAGGAGGCAUUUCGACCAAAGAUCGAGCUUUUCUUCUCAUAUGCAAUUUCGCUCUUAUUAAUUCAGUUGGGUCGCAUGGUUUAUCAGUCCAAUCAAUCGAGUUACACUCAUAUCAGAUUAUAAACUCAAACUAGAUUAGAGUCCAAUUCAUCAAUUAAUUGGCCAAUUUGAUUUAGAUUUAAUAACAAUAAAUUAGCCAUUAACACUUUUUUUUUC